AUUCAUUCCCUCAAAUCGAUUCCCAACCGACGGUCGUGACAAGGGGCUCACGAUGACGCCCCACUGCUCAGUCCCUUCAGCUUUGCUCGUAUCGCUGCUGGCGUGUCCCCUGAUAUUGGCUACAACAAGGUUGGACGGAGUUGCCGCAGAGACUGGUGACUCCUGGCGGCCACGCGUGGUCGUUUCAACGCAAGGCGAGGUGUGGCCACAGCCCAUGAACCAGACCAAAAGCUUCAAUACUCUCUCUUUAGAUGCAAGCACAUUCUCGUUCCAAUACGAGGGUGCCUGCUCCGUGGUGGAGCAGGCAUUGAAGCGCUACCAGCGUGAAAUAUUAUUCCAAAACUGCACGAAACCUCAAACAUCAAGAGGAGUUAGACGCAGACAUAGCCGGACUGCUUUGAACUCUCGCGCCCAUUUCCACGACGGUCAUCUCGAUGUUUUAAAAGUUAUUGUGUCUGAUCGGUGCGAAGAGAUUCCUGAU